rfam:Schistosoma haematobium scaffold119_2, whole genome shotgun sequence.
ACCUUGCUGACGAGUGCCAAAUAACACGAAAUCCAGAUCCAGGGU